rnacentral:sRNA from 1 species
GUAAGAGAUCAAGGCAUGUUUUAUUUAUGAAUACUUAUUAAUUCCUUAAACAAUUUUAUUUAAACAAUUCUAUUUAGGAAAAGCAGGCAUUUUGGUAGUUUAGAAGUAUUUAAAGUCCAGCAGCUGUUCUAAAAAUAGAACUUGGCUUCAGGUUCCCUCCCCAUUCAAUAGCAGGCAGCCAACCUACCCUGUUAACAUUUGUGCUCUUAUUUUUUGCUUACUUGUCUUUCUGUAUAGUAGAGAUGAAAUAAAAUUGAAAGAUGUACCUGCCUUUGUUUUGUAGUGAAUGGCAUUACUGAGGAAGCUGAUCCCACCAUUUACUCUGGCAAAGUAAUUCGCCCCCUGAGGAGUGUUGAUCCAACACAGACUGAGUACCAAGGAAUGAUUGAGAUUGUGGAGGAGGGUGAUAUGAAAGGUGAGGUCUAUCCAUUUGGCAUCGUUGGGAUGGCCAACAAAGGGGAUUGCCUGCAGAAAGGGGAGAGCGUCAAGUUCCAAUUGUGUGUCCUGGGCCAAAAUGCACAAACUAUGGCUUACAACAUCACA